rnacentral:rRNA from 1 species
GUGGGGAAUAUUGCACAAUGGGGGAAACCCUGAUGCAGCAACGCCGCGUGAGUGAAGAAGUAUUUCGGUAUGUAAAGCUCUAUCAGCAGGGAAGAUGAUGACGGUACCUGACUAAGAAGCUCCGGCUAAAUACGUGCCAGCAGCCGCGGUAAUACGUAUGGAGCAAGCGUUAUCCGGAUUUACUGGGUGUAAAGGGUGCGUAGGCGGUCUGCCAAGUCAGAUGUGAAAUACCGGGGCUCAACCCCGGAGCUGCAUUUGAAACUGGCGGACUGGAGUCCGGGAGAGGCAGGCGGAAUUCCUAGUGUAGCGGUGAAAUGCGUAGAUAUUAGGAAGAACACCAGUGGCGAAGGCGGCCUGCUGGACCGGUACUGACGCUGAGGCACGAAAGCGUGGGGAGCAAACAGGAUUAGAAACCCUAGUAGUCC